AGCCCCAUGGGGCUGCGUCCGGAACACCCUGAGUGGGGUGCCUGGGUGGCUGUUCCAGUUCCUCCUUUCUUACUUCCUGGGAACACAGCACGGGGGAGAGUGCACUGUGACAUCAUGGAUCAGAGUUCCAGUCCUGCUUUCCAUUUAUGUAUGUGCCCUUAGUCGAACUGCCUAACUUCCCUGAGCCUGUUUCCCCUUGUACUGUGGGGAUGGGCAUACCUCUCUCAGGAUUGUGGACUGAUGAAUCCUAGAAGGAUACGGGGAAUUGGCUUCAUCUAGCGAUUGUGGAGUUGGCAAGUACUGUGAGGCAAAGAGAAAGAGAUCUCCCGUCUGCUGGUUUACUGCCCAAAUGCCUGCAACCAGCCAGAGGUUAGCAUUGCAGCUGCCCAAGUACUUGAGCCAUCUUCUGUGACUGGUGCUUCCAGGAAGCUUGAUUGGAAGUAGAGGAGCCAUGAUUGAACCAGGCCAUCCGAUAAGAGGUGGGGCAUCCAAGCUGGGACUUAACCAGUGAACCAAAUGUUUGCUCCCACCUGGGGUCUUGAUACAAUGCAGCCUGUUUCAGGAGGCCUGAGGUGUUUCAGGAUAUCCUGGACCGUACUUUGAGUAGUCGAGUUUUAUGUAGAAUUAUCAGAGUGUAGUAUUCUCUAACGUUGAAGUCAGGGUUACAAGUGACCCAGAUAAUCAUUGAGAAUGUAAUGAGCUUUAAAAGGUGGAGAGUUUAUUGUUUUUGAUUUGUUUUUCUUGUUAGUGUAGCCAUCUUUUCUUCCAAGAGUCUGUUGACUGCCGCUUCAUUUUCUUUUGUAAAUUCUUGCUCACCAGAGGAUCUUCUAACCUUCAAGGCCCCAGUGAUAGCCACUCAUGACCUAAGUAAAGCCUUGAGUUUCCUUUAGAAGCUACUGGAUUCAGAGCUGGCACCAUGAGUCAUAAUGUCAAGAUAGGAGUCUGCUUCCUAAGCACUUACAUUGAGUCAGGCAUUCUAUGAAAACAUCAGCAAAACAGAGCUACCUCUGCAGGCUGACAGAAUGGGGUGAAUGCUGGCUUUUACAAAAUUUUUUCUGGGGCGGGGGGCUUCUCAUUUGGCAAGGAGAUGAGAGAAUCUACUAUGAAGGUGAUGAGAUAGUGCCUAUGAAUGCUUCGUGCACAGAGUGAACACUGAGGCAUUGACAGUUAUAACCUCAUUUAGUUCCUGCAGCUCCCUUUGAUUUGGGAGCCAUUAUUUUUUAUUUAUUUGGAGGAGUUAUAGAGAGAUGUAGAGGCAGAGAGAGAGAGGGCUUCCACCUGCUGGUUCACUCCCCAAAUGGCUGUAGUGGUUGGAGUUGAGCUGAUCCAAAGCCAGGAGCUUCUUCAGGGUUUCCCACAUGGAUGCAGGGGCCCAAGGACUUGGGCCAUCCUCUGCUGCUUUCCCAGGUGCAUUAACAGGGAACUGGAUCAGAAGUAGAGCAGCCAGGACUCAAACUGGCACCUAUGUGGGAUGCUGGUUUGGCAGGCCGGGGCUUUAACCCGCUGUGCCACAUGGCUGGCCCCGGCAGCCAUUAUUCUGCCAUUACAAAUGGAAGAGCAGACUUGGAGAAUAGUCGUCAUUUGCUUUCAGUCCCGCAACUGAAAAACAGUUCUUAAGCCAGGAUUUGGCCUCCAAUGUGUUGUCUUCACCACCAUAUUUUAUCUACUCUCUCCUGAUAAGAUGAAUAUGUGUAGUACUUCUUGGUGUGCAGAAUUAGGAUAAUGGUUAAGACCUGUGUCCUUAAGGAGAAUGUAAGCUCCUUAGGGAGAAUGUAAGUUAGAAAAAUUAAUGUAGCUUCCCUGUCUUCCCAAAUGGAAGGUGGCGUUGAGGUCGCUGCUGCUGAGUGAAGAUUUUGACAGGCUUGUUGUUGUUCAGGCAUGUGUGAUUGCACUGCAGGAGCAGUGAGUUCUGCAUAAUAGAAGCCAGAGUGUUGGGGAUGCUGGAAGUCAAGGCAAGGAGAAGAGGCCCCACAAAUACCUGGGGAGGGAGAAUGGAGGUGACCUGGAUUUUGCGUGGGUAGACUUGUCCUCAAGUUCUUUCCAAAAGUGACAUUGUGGAAUCCAGGCCAUUAAAUGUGGUUGAUCUGGGGAGGGGGAGGGGGUGGGAGGCUCAGUUUUUUCUUUGAAUGCCAUCCCUUCAUUAUGGACCUAAUUGAGAUUGGUCCCUUCAUUCUCACCCUGAUUUGGUCUCCAAAGACCUGACCUUGAUUCUUAUCCCUCCUUCUCCAGCCACUGCUAUGUUGAUUUGUGAUGAUCUUGGUGAACCUGCCUUUUCUUGUGGGGUGUGCUGGGGCCUGCCCUGGACUCCUGACCUAGAGCUGUUUCACACUGCGUGGCUUGCAGGAAAUUGCCAGGCUGUGGCAGGGUUUCCUCAGCUGUGGCUUUUUUUCUGAUACUAGUGCUCCUUUGAAUCACUGCAACUAAAUUUUUUUUCCAGUAGCUAAAAAAUAGCUUGUUUUUUUCUUCUUUAAAGAUUUUGAAAGGCAGAGUUAGAGAGAGAAUCUUCUGGUUCAUUCUACAAAUGACUGCAGCAGCCAGUGCUGAGCCAGGCUGAAGUCAGAAGUUGUACCCUGGUCUCCCAUAUGGGUGUAGGGGCCCAAGUGUUUGGGCCACAUUCUUUGUUGCUUCCCCAGGCACAUUAGCAGAGAGCUGGAUUGGAAGUGGAACAGCUGCGUCUUGAAAUGAUGUCCAUAGUCGCCGGUUCGAGACCUGGCUGCUCUGCUUCCAAUCCAGCUCUCUGCUAUUGCCUGGGAAAGCAGUAGAAGAUGGCCCAAGUCCUUGGGCCCCUGCACCCACGUAGGAGAACAGGAAGAAGCUCCUGGCUCCUGGCUUUGGAUCGGUGCAGCUCUGGCCGUUGCAGCCAUCUGGGGAAUGAACCAGUGGAUGGAAGGCCUCUCUCUCUCUCUCUCUCUGCAUCUCUGCCUCUCUGCCUCUCUGCCUCUCAACCUCUCAACCUCUCAACCUCUCAACCUCUCAACCUCUCAACCUCUCAACUUUCUAUGUAACUCUGACUUUCAAAUAAAUAAAUAUUUAAAAAAAAGAAAUGGUGACCACAGGGGAUGCCACAACACCGGCCCCUUAAUAUUGUUUUAAUUGACACAGUAAUUUAAUGUAUUUCUGUAGUACAGUGUGGUAUCUUGAUUCAUGUUUACAUGGUAUAAUCAAAUCCAGGUACAUAGCAUGUUCAUCACUGCAUGCCUUUGUCAUUUUGUGGUCAGAACAUUGAAAUUAUUCAACACAACAUUGUGCAAAAGAAUGCCAACACUUAUUCUUCGUCUGUAACUGGCAGUUUGUACUCAUUGACUAGUUCUUGAAGAGUCCUCAUAUGUGAACAUGCGUGAACUUGUUUUAAUGAUAAAAGCAUGUUGAAAUGAAGCUGCUACUGCAGUUGAGCACUGUGGGCAGGGGAGCUGUUAGAAGUGAAUGAAGAGGCCUAGGAAGAAGUACAAAACAGAAGGCCAGCCGGUAAAUGAGUAGUGACGUGUAAAGUGCAAGUGAUUAAUUUUAACAGGAAGCUCUCUCCAUAGGAACUGUUCUAUAAUAACUACCCAGCACUGAUGCAUCCCAUUGUGUAGAUAUCAGACCGAGGGCUACCUGGGGCUUAUCUAUCUAUCAGGCUUCCUGAGGAGCAGAGAAAUAGGAUUCAUACCAUUGAAGGUCAGAAAUCUGAGAUGGUUUGGGGAGGGGUUGUAGAUGCAGUCUCAUGGCUUAUGUAGUGCUUUCUGUGUGAAACUCUCCCAGAAUUGUCUUAAGGGUUUUAUUUCAAUGAUUUCUACAACUAGCAUCCCCACUGACGUGAACCUCUGAAGAGUCUUCCGGAUCAGAGAGACUUUUUAAUUUUGGCCAGUUAGGGCCAUCUGAGAGGAUUGGGUGAUACCCAUGCUUGUGUUGCCUCCUCCAGGGCUCAACUUUAGUUCUAAAAUUUUGGUUUUUGUCAGUACCCAGGUUGAGUGCCUUGGGAUUCUUAUUGAUCAGAAUCACCAAGAGACUGAUAUUUAAACUCAGAAUGCCAGCUCUUGCUUGAGGUGAGAAGUAGAACUUCUAGACAUACUGAGACCUAGGUGGUCAGACUGCCCCUUCCCUCUAAGGAAAACUUAGGUUUAUAACCAGCUAGGCAAAGCUGGAAUAGGAGAAAGGCGACUGAAGUGGUAAUCUUUCUGUUUUGUCCUUAGACUUAGACACUUGCAUGUUGGUCUCCCUGUCAGAUUCCAUCUUCUGCAUGGGCCACUGGCCAGGACCGUUGUCUGCUGUCUUCUCAGGGGCAGAAACAAGCUGGUAAAUUUUAGGGUUUAUGCAAACAUAGUCUUUUGUAUAAAAUUCACCAGCUUAUUUUUGUUGACUAAUAAAACGAAUGGAUUUUUCCCAUUUUAUAAGAAUUUGAUGAUAUUUUCUGAUCUAUAGUUGGUACACUUAGGAUUUUCAGAGUUCAGCGGUGUAAUUGGACUUGAUGUUCCCACAUCUUCUCAGCUGUACCUGUACUUGGGCCCCUUCCAUGGUAUAUUGCCCACCCUCCCGACCCUGCAUUCUUGGCAACCCUUGGAGCAGGGCACACGUAGCCAUUCUCUUUGGUGUACAGAACUUUCCAUAUGAUCUGGGCUACAUGCUUUCUCUCUGGUGCUCCCUUGGAUAGGGUGAGCCUCCUAAACAUUUUGUUUUCCAAGUUAGGUUUGAAUAUUGCAAAGCCUCACCGCUGACAUCAAACCACCUUACAGUCUGUAACUUUCACUCAGCUCAUAAUGCCUUGACUUCUUAAAAGGACUUUACAUAGCUUUUUUUUCCUUCUUAAAAAUAUAAUAAAAAUCAGAAUUGCUGAAAUUCUGGUUAUGCCAGGCACUAUACUCAGGGCUUCACUUGUAUCAUCGUGUAACUCUUAGAGUACUCUGCUAGGGAGAGACUGAUAUUUCCAUUCUCUACACGAGGGAGCGAGCAACAUAGAGCAUUUAUGCAGGCUGCAGGUACAGAUUUGUUAGUGUUCAUUAUGUCUGUGAUGGUUAUUUUACCUUUACUUGAUUCAUAGGGAAAAAUUCAAUUAUUGCCCAUUUUUUGGGAGCAAGAUCCAGAAAUAUUUGUUGUUGUAUGUUUCCUAAAUAGUCAGAUCCUGCACAUUGCUGUAGUAGAAUUCCAUAACCCUGCCUGUCUGCUCUGCUGACAGUGUGCGUCAUUAUCAGUGAGCUUUAUCUCAUGAUCAGGUGUGACCUCAUCUUGUCAUUCUGCAGAAAGUUUUGUGAGGCCCACACAGCGUGCCCCAGCUCUUGCUGGGUAGGGGCAGUCUCCAUGCUGCAGUGCAGUCUCAAUGUCUGAUGUCCUGUAGUGUGGCACUUGGCAUAGGAACAAUGCUCUGGUUACUUGGAAGAUGGGCUGGGUCUCUGCCCAUGGAAACUAUAACAAAGGGGAAUAUUGGAUGGAUGUUAUGUGGGAGUUUGCCAGGUAGGAUGAGGGGCAGGCAGAGGCUUGAAAGGAUGGAAGUAGGUUGCCUGUGGGUAAGAGAGCUCACAGCUGGAGUAUAGGGUGAGUGUCAAUGAAGGAGAAAUGAGCAAGUCCAGAAAUAAGGCAUGGCAUUUGUAGAGUGGCAAGCCAGUGCUACGUUUAGUAAGAAGAGUGAGUGAGAGGCAGGAUAUUCUAAUUUGUAUCUUAGGAAGGUCACUUGAGCACAGGUGGUCCUUGGGGUAGGUUAGUGAAUAGAUGAGGGCAUAGUUUUGCAAGAACUGAUGUCUAGUGAAUUUGAUGCUUGCGUGAAGGCCGUCACAGAGGACACUUUGGUUUGCAAGGAUGAAUAGGUUAGAUGGUCCUGAGAUGCAGAAGAGGCAGCUGUGGGAGGGGAGGAAAGAGAUCUUUUGGAAUGGAGAGAGAGUGUGGUGUUGGGUGUAGGCUGCCAUUCCAAGGGGUGGCUGGAGCGAGAAUUAAUGAUUGGGAAUUGGGGUCAUCGUUAUUUGAGGACCAGGCCAGCAGGAAAGAACCCUGAGGAGGUGACAGAGCAGAGAUUUGUGCAGCCAAGGCUGGGAAGGCAGGGAUUGUAAGGCAGGGAAGUCAGCUGCAGUUCAGACUACAGAGAGAAGUCAGGAAGAAUGAGAACAGGCUUUUCUUAUGAGCCUUCAGUAUGUCAUUCUUGAUGGUCAAGUAACCACAAAAGACUGUAAGAGGAGAAAAGGGUCUGAGUUUGUAAAUGGAGACUUAUUAUACAAAUGUUGGCACAGAGGCCAGUGGCCUCUGAAAGAGCCUUCUGUACCAGUGAGCUUCCCUCCCGUCUGUGGGAACAGCAGACAUCUGUGACCUGAGACGACCCCCAGGUUCCUUUCACUCUCGAGAUCCGAUGAAUCUGUAGCUUCGUAAUUUGAGGGAGGGGAUAUCCCCUAGCUUUUGAGGUUGGAGAGAUGAUUGCAGUGUUAGACUGUGGGGCUACGUUUCGAGAGGAUUGUACACCUAGAUCAGCUGGUCUUGAAUCUUAUAAACAUGAACUCUGAAAUCUAAUAUGAGCAUCUGGCUUGGGCCAUGUGUAGACCAAACAUUCCCCAGUGAAAUGGUUCUGCAUGAGUGACUCUGGGGUAGGUAAUUCUUAUAGUAGAGAAAUUCUUACUGACUGGGAAUUAGAUUUGUCCAUUCUGUUCUUG